AGGGAUGAGACGUCGAAAUCGACGGCGUCGGUGGUCGGAAAAGAGAGAAACAUGGCUGGUCGAACAGGGGUUUCACGCUUCAUGAGUUUUCUGGUGAUCCCGAUGGCCAGCGAGGGUGUGCAAGGCCAUAGGAAGGAGGAGAAGGAAGAGAAGAAGGAGGGUCAGAGCUUACCUUCGACUUCGGUGAGGUCUCCGGCGAGAAAUUGAGGUGAACACACAACAGGGUCGGGAGCUUCAACGGAGAAUUUUGGGAGAAGGAAGAGGGAGAUCUCUCGGCUGGUCGAGGCUGG
rnacentral:lncRNA from 1 species